CAAACAUCUCUUUUAACAUUAUUUACUAGUGAUCUCAACUGAGAAGGUGAGUCAUUUAUUUUUUCAAAGUUCAACAAAUUAUUAAUAAAGGCAUGAACUACUGCUCUUUUGUUUUCAUAUCUGCUUUCAAGUGCAGAAAAUAACAACUCAAAUGUAUCCUGACAUGAUUCUAACAUUUUUGCUUCACCUUUAAGUGAUGCUUUCAAAUAAAACAGUUUCUCAGUAGUAUAUAUAUAUAUAUAUAUAUAUUUAUAUCAUAUAUUUAUUUUUUAUUAAUAGGGCAAUCAGUUUGAUCAGCUGCUUUCCCUGAUUGGAAAGAAAAUUGAAAAGACGACGACUCAUUUAAGAAAGCCAAUUCUCCAUCAGAAAGACUGGCACUUUGUUUGAGGUUUUUAGCUACUGGUGGACAUAUGCAGAUCUUUCCUUUAGCUUUAGAAUUGGCAAAUCGACAGUAUGCAAUAUUAUACAUGAGACCUGUGAAGCAAUUUGUCAGACUUUAGGCCCAUUGUGUUUGCCUGAAAUACGUUCACAAAACCACUGGACUGAAGUUGCAGAUGGUUUUUCAUACAAGUGGAAUUUUCCUAACUGUGUUGGUGCAGUUGAUGGGAAACACAUUGCUAUACAAGCCCCAAAUGCAGGAUCGUCCUAUAUAAAUUAUAAAGUAUUCCACAGCAUUGUCGUAAUGGCUGCAUCUGAUGCUCAUUAUAGCAUUUUGUAUAUGGACAUUAGAAAUUUUGGGUGAAUUAGUGAUGGCGGAGUUUUUGCCAAUUCUUCACUAGGUCGAAAGUUACAAAACUCAAAAUUUUUACCUGAGCCAGCAUUGCUUCCUGAAAGUAACAAGGUUUUGCCAUUUGUUUUUAUUGCGGAUGAAGCAUUUCCUUUAAAAACAAAUAUGUUGCGGCCAUUCCCAGGGAAACUCCUUCCUCAGAAUAAAAGAAUAUUCAAUUAUCGUCUGGCAAGGGCAAGGAGGUGCAUCGAAAAUGCAUUUGGAAUUUUGACGGCUCGAUGGAGAGUACUUCGAAACACUCUCAACGUUCAGCCAGACAAAGCAGAUAGAAUUGUGUUUGCUUGCUGCUGCUUGCAUAAUUUUCUCAUGAGAAAUGAAAUGGGUAAGGCUGCGAAGAGCUACUGUCCAUUUGGAUAUGCAGAUUCUAUGUUUGAAGAUGGAUCUGUUCAAGAAGGCAUGUGGAGGCAAGAUGAGGGCUAUUUACAAUCAGUUGGUCGACAAGGUGCCAAUAAUGCUACCGAAUGUGCAGCUGCCAUUCGAGAAAGAUUCAUGCAUUAUUUUAAUGAAGAAGGAGCUGUUCCCUGGCAAAACAAAUUUAUUUAGUUUUUCUGCUCUCUUUAUGUUUCUUUUUGUAUAUGUAAAUUGUGUGUUAUUUAAGCUAAUUUCAUAUGUUUAUUGCAUAUUAGUAAUAUUCUAUAAUAAAAAAUAAAAAGACAUUUUCUCUUUGGAAGUAAUAUAUUUUGUAGCAAAUAAAAAAAUGAAGUCAAUGAGCAUGGAAGAGUUGAAGCUAUUUUAUCUAUUUUCCCAGCUCAUGCAAUAAGCUCAGAAAACUCACUUUGGCUUUGUAUUUUGCCUCUUUGCUUAAUUCUUUAAAAUUUGGUAGCAUACUCGGUAGGAAAUUUCUGUCGGGAUCAUCAUCGUCUUUUUCUGUCAAUACUUCUCAUGAAAUCUAGAAUUUCAUCUGUUGCAUCUUUUUUCCUCUUUUUAGUGCAGACAUUGGAUGCUGAAUUGCCAUUAUUUAAUGAAGAUGUUUUGGAGCCUGUCAUAGCAGCUUAGCUGCUAAAAUCGACCCUAUCUGUCCUGUCUGUCAUUAUUGACAGACUGGACUAAAUCGGUGACACCCCUUUCGUCAUCAGAAGGAACAGUAGCACUCAAGUCGAAUUCUGAGUCAUGUAUAGAACUAUUGAGGCUUGGCUCCAUAUUUUCUUCUAUCUCCUUAUUCCAAGUAUCAUUAGUGAUUGUUCUGCAAAAAAAAAAAAAAAAAAAAAAGUAUGUUUCAUUUUACAAAUUAUUUUACUUUUGUAAAAGGGGAAACAAUUCUAAAAGCUUUUAAUUUGUAUGGUAGAAGCAAAAACAUGUUCAUGUCAUUGAUAGAAAACACAAUGACACUCUUUGAUAUGGUAUUAGCAACAAGUAAAAUUAAUUUAAAAUAAUGUCUGGGUAUAUCUAACUUUCUGUUAAAUGCAUAGUCCAUGAUGCUUGCAUAGUCCUUGCUCCCAACAUGCUUUACAACUAACUGGUGGUGUAAAAUAGUUUAAUUUUAAUAAAGGUGAGACAUUUUCAUGUUCUCUGGCAUGGCAAUCUUUAAUGCAGAAGCGGUAACAACAAAAGUUCAUUUAAAAUAAUUAACAUAUCAGUUCUCCAUUGAGUUAAGCUCAGUGGCCAUUCAUUACGUUUGACCUGUUAAUUCAACAUUUAGAAAACACUACAAAGUCACAUAAAAAGUAAACUUCAUUGUUACCUAUGUUUCAUAUUCCCCGAAAAGAGUUUUUUUAUAUGAAUGUUAUUGAAAUACUCAAAAGUGAAUUUUAAAGAAAAAUUUUCUGUUUGAUUUGUUAGUUAUUCUGUUGUUACAAAUUCUGCAAUUAGUUAAAUUAUUAAUGCAAUAAAAACAAUGUCAUUAUAUGCAUAAAACAGAGUAUCAAAUUUUUUUAGUCAAACUAUGAUUACUUUAUUAUUGAUGGGAAUAAAUAUUAAUCUUUAGUUGAACAUGUAAAAAAAUGUUAAGCAUUUAAUCAUUGAAUACAAUUUGUAAAACAGAGGACCAAAAAGUGAACUUGAUAACCGAGUUAAAAGUAUUUUUUAGUGAGGGAUCUUAUUUUUCAAAAAAUUUUAAUAAAAUUUUAACUUGAAUUUAUGACUUUAAGGAUUUCUUUCUCCUUAUAUUUGGAAAUUUAGUUUUGUUUUAGAAAUGUGUUAAGAUUUAGACAAACAGAUGAAUCUUUGGUUAUAUAUAUUAUUUACAUGUCAUAUAUAUGACGUCAUGUGUUUGUUAGGCACAUGAUGACAGAGGACUUUCUUCAGAAAACUGGCUUGUAUUCACAUAACGUGUGGGCUAAACCAGGCAUCGACAACUUAUGGCACGCAGUACAAUUCUCAGUGGCACUCUACACCACUCUUAAGAAAAUUAUCAGACAAAGGGGGAUCUUACAAAGACCACAGUUUGAAAAACACCGAAUUAAGCAAAGAAAUUCAAGCUAAAUGCCCUUACCUAAACUACAGGAAAAUGGUAUAUGGUUUUGCUUUAUGUAUUAGGAGGGCUACAAAAUUCUUAUGCAAGCUAGUUGAUUAAUUUCAGGAAUUGGAUCUAAGAAAACUAUUAGUAUUCUACAGCAUUAUCACUGAUGUUCACUGAUGGAAACAAUAUAAUACAUCUGGUAUUUUAAAAAUACACUUCUUGUUCAAUGUAAUAUAAUUUCAUUUAUAUUGUUAGCCAUUAAUUGCAUUUGAUAUCAAAGAAAUAUUUUAAUGAAUGUAAAAUCCUUUCUUCCUGUAAACUUAUUAUUUGCUGGUAGUUUUUUACACGGUUCACAUAAAUCAUUUACAAGAAACUUUCUAGAUAGAAUAUAGAACAAAUGAGAACCCAUUUUUCAUGACGAUUAAUUAUAUAUAUAUAUAUAUAUAUAUAUA
rnacentral:lncRNA from 1 species